GCGGCUCGGCGGCAAGAUGUGCCUGUGGGGGAGGACAGGGUGGGCGUCCUCUCCGAGGGGCCUCGUUACUCGGUCUUCCCUCACGAGUAUCGCUUGAGAAUUCGGAAGAGACGGGUCACAUCACCAUCAUUUUAACAGCUCGGCUUUGGAUAGAAGUUCCAGAAGAAGCAAGCAAGUGUGCUAACUUUCUUUAUAUGUUUCCUAGGGUAACACAAGAAUGGCGGUAAAUUCUGUAAAAGUUCAAUGGGUGAGUUUUGUCCCUUAAGGGGAAUUCAGGGAAAGCCUAAUGCAGGGGAUGUUUCCUUGUGUCCCCCCUUUUAAACAAAGGAUGCACGUUCCCAGAGGCUCUGGGUAUAUGGAAAGUUAUUGGCUGUAUUAGCGAAGUAGGUGUGCCAGCAGUUUGUACUUUUAUUUUUCUUGCUGCUGUGUUGAUUUUUUUCUCCCCGGAAAACACUGAUUUUAAGUAGUAUUUUGCACCAGUGAAAAAAAAAAAUCUCUUUUUCUUAGCCAUGUCUUUCUCUCAAUGGCUCUCUGUUGCUUUGCAACCCAAAAUACAGACAUUUCUUCCACAUGUUUGUUGUUUUAGUAGGGGUCAGCUGUUGUAACGUGUAGGUUACCAUUCAUGAAAGUGUAUUUCUUUCAGGUACUUCAGGUAUAAAAUAAGUGAAAUGAUGGUAGACAUAUGCUGAAUUGGAGGUAUCUGUCACAAGAGAUGCACAGUUAUUGAUCAGAAGUAUUUUGUCAUGGACAGAAUGUAGGUGCAGAAGACUCACCAAGUUUUGAUGUUGAUACAUUAUCUGGUAAACAAGGAGCACUGAACAGAGGAAUGCUGCUGAAAAGCUGCCAAGAAAUAAAACAUUUCUGCAUGACCCUGCAAGGCCUCCUUAUGGCCUGCUGUAAACUGCCUUCACCUGUUAUCUCUGGUUUUCAUUACUGUUGGGUCAGCUGACUUAAAUCACAGACAUAUAGAAAAACUGAUGACUGAAAUGGCUGAAUAAUGCUGCUAAUUUAAUGAGCUGAUUCAGCCUGUGGAAAGCAUUCGACAAGCAGCAGAGCCAAUGCAAAGGACGGGGAACAGAAAAGACCAGAGAGUAAGGGGAAAAGAAGGGUAAAGUUUGGAUUUGGAAAGAGUGGGAUGGGAAUGCUUUUUCAGUGACAGUAAACAGAUCAACCCAGCUGCAGCUUGAGUUCAUAUUCUAAGAGAAAGGGGAAAACACACAAAGAGUCCAAACAGAUUCUGGAAUACAUUUCCUAACAGAAACACCUUCAUAGACUACAAACUUCAGGCACCUACUUCAAUCAAAAGAGAUAACAUUGCUUUUAAUAUAAUGUGAGAAAUGGAUUGCUGUUUAUCUGGGUGUGUGGAUUUUAGGUUUUUUGUGACACUUUAUUUAAAAGGGGAAAAUCGCUGAAAUUUUAUGAAUUAGCUUUAAACACCUCACUUAGAGGCAGUGAAAAUAAGCAGCAUUUUAAACUACUUUGUGUUGCUUGUUAUUGUAAAUUAUGUUCCUUAUCAUAUUGGUCAUAUGUGAACUAUAUUCAGUUGAGAUAUGUAAAUAAUAUAACCCUAGGACUUUUUUGAAAUUAGAAUGUAGAUGACAGAAGUAAUAUCUAAAUAUGUGAAAGUAGUAGAAAAUAAAAGCCUGGUGCUUUUUGCUGAGUUAAAAACACAUUGAUGUUGAGGAAAAUGGUGCAAUUUUUGUGGUUUCUUACUGUUAUAGAGGCUAAUAUUGCUAUCUGGGAAAAAAAAAAAAAAACCAAAACCAACCAAACAAAAAAACCACCCUCUGGUAAUUAUUAAUUAUAAACCUACCAAGGAUUAUUCACAGUGAGAGCCUGCCUAUUUUCUUUCUCCCUUCCUCCUUCCCAUCCAUUGACAUCCAUUCAUUCUGGAGUCUUUUUAAGGUGCCUUUCACUGCCUCAUCCUCUUGUCAUGGAGGAUUUUGCUGUGUACCUGUAAAGGGAUGUGUAUAGUUAAAAUUCCCUGAGGAUUCACUUGCCAGAUUGUCACACAUGAAGUUUUGAUGAUGGCUGUGUGGUGUGUUUUCUGCCUUUAGCAGAAGGCAUCCCACCCCCUCCCAUUCUGCCCCCUCUCCAUUUUAUUUCUGUCUCGGGAACUGCAGAGGAGAAAGUGAAAAUGGAAAUGCUUGGUCAUCAUGCUCUCAGGUUAGGUUACAAAAAAAUCAGGAUGGAAGCAAAAAUGUGAGAAUCAAGGCUUCAUCAACUGCAGUGUGCUGAUAGAGUAUCCCAAUUUAAUUAUUCAUAGAGUUAGCAGUACAGCAUGAUGGGAAGAGGAAAUUUUGGAAAGCUAUCAUGAAGGAACAGUAGAAAAGCAGGGGGGAAAUCAGUAAUACAUUUUUUUCCUUUCCUACCCUGUGAAAUAACUUUCUGUCUGCCAAAAUGAUCUUGUGAAUGUAUAGUAUAAACCACUCCAUGUAGCAUUUUCCAAAAUGUAGCUGUGAACAGGAAUGGAUGUUAAUGAUGCCUAGCAAACAUUAAAACCUCAUUUUCCCUUACCUCACCCAACCUGUAGCUAUCUACCCAAGGACAUUAAAUACAAGGCUUUACCUAUGAUCAAAUUGUAAGUUUUGAAGUUAAAGUUAAGUGUUUGAUUUGAUACUGUGUUAUACUCAGUGGCUAUUACACUCGCAGGGAUAGUUAUGAGUAUACAAUACAAAGGGAAUGAAGAAAAGGGUCCCUCAACUGCUGAGAAAUAACAUUUUUUCAGCUGCUGACUGUUACAGCCGUUCUAACUGGAAACAGCACUGCCAGCAGCUAACUACCCACAUGCACAAGAGUAAACUGCAGCAACAUCUCACUGGUGAAAUAAUCCCAAAGAGGAUCAGCAUUUGCUUUGUCUCAUGAAAAAUGCCAGUGACCAAGAACAUACAAGCUGGACAAAGAAAUUCAGCUUAAUAUAAAUUUAUGAAAUAAAGAUGUCCUUCUCUGAAGAAAAAGCUUUGCUUUAUACAAGUGGUCUGCAGUGCAGUCCUUCCUCUUUGCUAAGGGAAGUCAAUAAAAAGUUGGGAGAGUUAGAUUUUAACCCCAUGUUCCAGUCAAUGUCUGCCUGCCUGUGGCCCUGAGGAAGCGCCAUGGGGCUGAGAAAAGUACAAUUUAAGAGCAUGGAGCAUUCUGGGAUGUGUAACUCUUUCUAUCAAAAAAAGCCUUACAUGGCACAAAUUGGAUGAUGUCUGGACUUAAACCCAUUACCAGAAAAAGAUAAUGAUGUGAGAGCCAAAUGAAAGGACAACACAUAAUACCAUAUACAAGGAAAAUCAGAGGAGAUCUUGAAUGAGCAAAGAGGAUGUACAUGAUGGAAUUAUUUACCAGGUACUACAAUGUGAAGAAAAUCAGAGCACCUCUUCUCAAAAGGGAAUUACAGAAAUUAAUUGAGGAUAUUGUGGCAUCAUUUCUUUAAAUCCCUUAUGUUCCACAGUUCCCUGUUUCUCAGUGGCACCCCCUUGCUCUCAGAAGUUUUGCACCCACUUGUUCUCUUUCCACAUCCCAACAUCCUGUCUGUCUAAGUUUCUCUCCUAGGCUCAGCAUUUCUAUCUGGCUGUGACCAAAGCUGUCACAGUGGUAAACACUGUCAGAAAGAUAUCCUGUCUCCUUCUUUUAUAUGUGAAAGCAAGGGGUAAGAAGGGUGUACUCAAGGUGUUUUCCUGGCACUGCUACAGUGCCUGGAGGGCAAAGGCUAUUCCUCCUCCCCUGCACCACCAAGCAAUUCAUGUUCCAGCACCAGGGUGAAGAGCAGGAUAUGAAACAAGUAAAACAGUGUCACUCAAAUCCUGGAGGAGUGAGAAAAGAAGGCUUCCUUCUGCCUGUGAAGUUUUUAUGUACCUAGUGGAGACUGGUGUGAAACAUAUCUACGGGACACAGCAGAUGGCGUGCCUGCCUCCCUGAGACUGGAGAUCCCAAGCAGAAUGCAAAUGAUACAAGAAACAUAACAUAGAAACAAUAGUGUAAUAUAAGAAACAAUUAUGCAAGAAACCUACUCCUCUUUCCUUAGAAGAAAGUAGUGAAGCUAUCACAAUAUUUUUGAAGGAAAAAUGUCAACAUUUUUGAUUGCAUGACUGUGUGUUUGACUUGCAAUAAAGGGCAAUAUCUUCCUUUCCUUCAGUAAGCUCCACACACAUAAGCAAUUGAGUAUUAAUAAGAAUAAAUUUUAUUUAAGUUCCUUUAAAAAAUAAUCCAUACUGAAUAAAAAAGGGCCAGCUGAUAAAAAUUGCUUUGUCUGCCCCCUAGAAAUGGAAAAAGAUAAAUUAUUUUGGAACUACCAGCUGCAGACAUGGCAAAAUGGUGAUGGAAGUUAUAAGAAAGCUUGCUGUAAGUACCUCUCAGGUAAACAAGUCCUGUGGUAAAAUUAUGGCAUGAUGGAUUGUUUUAGGUUCAAGAUGUGGCUGGGGGUGUGUAUUCUAUUGCCAUCUGUUAGAGGUGGGGCAGUUAUCUACUGUUAAUCGGGCCACCUGUCAAAAGCAGCUGGGGCAGUUUUCUUUAUCUCUUCCAUGACCUCCCUCGGGGAUAUAUCUGCUGCUAAUGGGCCACUGAGUCUCACUGCAUGACUGCUAAAAAUUACAUCAUCCCACUGGGAGAUGCUCUGCCCAGGGGGAGGAGCCAAACUUUCCUUCCUGGAUAUAAUCUGAGAUUUGGAGCACCACAAGCAGCCUUUUCCCACUAGAUUCCCAGAGGAAGACCAGGUCUAUCUACACCACCACUGGACCAUCAGAGGAAAACUACAUCCUUCUACAGGAUCACUGCUUCAACAGAACCACACCUGUCACUGCAGGGGCACUGCAGCCACCAUUUAAUGGGACUGCUAUCAGCACCCUGACCAACAGGGUGUCAGGUGGUAUUCUGACUCUGUCAGUGGUUUUUUUUGUACUAUUGCAUUUGUAUUUUUAAUUUUCCUAGUAAAGAACUGUUAUUCCUGCUCCCACAUCUUUGCCUGAGAGCCCCUUAAUUUAAAAUUAUAAUUCAGAGGGAGGGGGUUUACAUUUUCCAUUUCAAAGGGGGCUCCUGCCUUCCUUUGCAGACACCUGUCUUUUCAAGCCAAGACAUGGAUAAAGCAAACUCUUACUGUCCUCUAGAUGUCACGAUGUGGAAGAGGAGCAGCUGGAUACCAGGGCUGCCACAAUUGAAGCUAAAUAGCUUUUGACAUGAUUGUUAAAGAAAAGCUAUAGUACGGCAUGGCAAAUUCACUGCAGUGCCCAUCCUGAUGUGACAUGCUCCGGAGCAAGCAGGUUCCUGCUCAGGCACUGGAAAUAAACACUGGACCCAGCAUGGGAGACAGAGACAUGGACAUUCACAUCAGGUCUACACUGGCCAUUCUGGCUUGGUCACUCAGCAUAGAUUUUUGGCGACUUCCUUGUUUUGAUAAAAUCAGAGAGAAUAUGCAGUUACACUUGUAGCACAGUGCUCUUCCCUUUAUAGGUUUUAUUUCUUACCAAAACAGCAUGGUUUUUACAUAUAUAUGCACAUAUAAAUAAAUAGAAUGGCAACAUUAAUAAAUAAUUACACUGUUAAAUAUAUACACAUUAGGAGUACUUGCUAUUGCAACUUGCAGAUACUCACAAAUCCAUACAGGUCUUGUCUAACAGCUCAUUCUUACAAAAGAAGAUACAACAAAUUCAGAGAUGUGGAGUAAGAUAUGUAAGAAUAAGGAUUGUGUGAUUUUUUCAUAUAUAUGUCUAAGACACAUUAUUUCAUAUACGUGUCUAAAAGCCUGAAGAUCAAAUUUGAGUGAAGAUGAAUUGAAGAAGUGGUGAUAAAUAAUAAGUUAUUAGACAUAAUUUGGAAUAGUCAGAGCUUCAAUUACAAAAUAGGAAGAAUCAUCCUGCUCUUCAAAAUCCUGAAAUAAUCCUGUUCCUUUUCAGUGUCCUUCAUGUUACAGGGCCUGGUUCAUUAAAAGCUGUGAUUUAAAGGUGUUCAGA